CAGCCACAUCAUGUUAAAACACUGGUUCUCAUAUUAUCACUGAUGUUAAGCAACAUUGAGCCUGGUCAGUACCUAAUUGGGUGACCAUUUGGGAAUACCAGGUGGUGUAA